rnacentral:rRNA from 1 species
AGCUCCAAUAGUGUAUAUUACAGUUGUUGUAGUUUAAAAGCUCAUAGUUUGAUGUCUGGUGGGAGCAAUCACUAUGGUACUUUUUGUCGUACCUUGCAUUGUCUCUGACCAUCCUCGGAAAGAACCAGUCUAGAAUUAAGUUGUCGGGCUAAAGAUUUCAAUAUUUUACUGUGGAAAAUUACAGUGUUCAAAGCAGGCUUAAGCCAUUGAAUAUACUAGCAUGGAAUAUAGGACGUUGUUGCUAUGUUGUUGGUUUACGUGUCAUAGUAAUGAUUAACAGGGACAGUUGGGGGUAUUUGUAUUCUAAUGUCAGAGGUGAAAUUCUUGGAUUUUUGGAAGACAAACUACUGCGAAAGAAUUUACCAAGGAUGUUUUCA